GAUCCUGGCUCAGGAUGAACGCUAGCUACAGGCUUAACACAUGCAAGUCGAGGGGCAGCAUCAUCAAAGCUUGCUUUGAUGGAUGGCGACCGGCGCACGGGUGAGUAACACGUAUCCAACCUGCCGACAACACUGGGAUAGCCUUUCGAAAGAAAGAUUAAUACCGGAUGGUAUAGUUUUCCCGCAUGGUAUGAUUAUUAAAGAAUUUCGGUUGUCGAUGGGGAUGCGUUCCAUUAGG
rnacentral:rRNA from 1 species